rnacentral:rRNA from 1 species
ACUGCCUUCGAAACGGGCAGGCUUGAGCCUUUUAGAGGGAGGUAGAAUUUCAGGUGUAGCGGUGAAACGCGUAAAGAUGUAGAGGAAUACAGGUGGCGAAGGCGGCCCCAUGGAAAAAGACUGACGAUCAGGUGCGAAAGCGUGGGGAGCAAAUAGGAUUAGACACCCAGGUAGUCCACGCCGUAAACGAUGUAUACGUGGAGGUUGUGCCCUUGAGGCGUGGCUUCCGGAACUAACGUGUUAAGUAGACCGCCUGGG